UGGGGGAUAUUGCACAAUGGGCGAAAGCCUGAUGCAGCAACGCCGCGUGAAGGAAGAAGGUUUUCGGAUUGUAAACUUCUAUCAGCAGGGACGAAAAUGACGGUACCUGACUAAGAAGCCCCGGCUAACUACGUGCCAGCAGCCGCGGUAAUACGUAGGGGGCAAGCGUUAUCCGGAAUUACUGGGUGUAAAGGGUACGUAGGCGGUCUGAUAAGUCAGAUGUGAAAGCCCGAGGCUCAACCUCGGGACUGCAUUUGAAACUGUCAGACUAGAGUACAGGAGAGGUAAGUGGAAUUCCUAGUGUAGCGGUGAAAUGCGUAGAUAUUAGGAAGAACACCAGUGGCGAAGGCGGCUUACUGGACUGUAACUGACGCUGAGGUACGAAAGCGUGGGGAGCGAA
rnacentral:rRNA from 1 species